rnacentral:rRNA from 1 species
GAUUAUGGCUCAGGAUGAACGCUGGCGGCGUGCCUAACACAUGCAAGUCGAGCGGAGAUAAGUUGAAGCCUAGCGAUUCUUAUCUUAGCGGCGGAUGGGUGAGUAACACGUGGGUAACCUGCCCUGUACUGGGGAAUAACAGCUGGAAACGGCUGUUAAUGCCGCAUAUGCGCACGGAGCCGCAUGACUCCGGGCGGAAAGAUUUAUCGGUACAGGAUGGGCCCGCGCCGGAUUAACUAGUUGGCGGGGUAACGGCCCACCAAGGUGAUGAUCCGUAGCCGACCUGAGAGGGUGACCGGCCACAUUGGGACUGAGACACGGCCCAAACUCCUACGGGAGGCAGCAGUGGGGAUAUUACACAAUGGGGGAAACCCUGAAUGCAGCGACGCCGCGUGAAGGAUGACGUAUUUCGGUAUGUAAACUUCUAUCAGCGGGGAAGAAGAUGACGGUACCCGACUAAGAAGCCCCGGCUAACUACGUGCCAGCCGCCGC